rnacentral:rRNA from 1 species
UACCUGGUUGAUCCUGCCAGUAGUCAUAUGCUUGUCUCAAAGACUAAGCCAUGCAUGUCUAAGUAUAAGUUUUAUACAGCGAAACUGCGAAUGGCUCAUUAAAACAGUUAUAGUUUACUUGAUAAUUACUCUUACAUGGAUAACCGUGGUAAUUCUAGAGCUAAUACAUGCUGAUUUGCCCGACUUCUUGGAAGGGCGGUAUUUAUUAGAUAACAACCAAUAUUCCUUGUGUCUAUUGUGGUGACUCAUAAUAACUGAUCGAAUCGCACGGCUUUUGCCGCGAUAAAUCAUUCAAGUUUCUGCCCCAUCAGCUGUCGAUGGUAGUGUAUUGGACUACCAUGGCAAUAACGGGUAACGGAGGAUUAGGGUUCGAUUCCGGAGAGGGAGCCUGAGAAACGGCUACCACAUCUAAGGAUGGCAGCAGGCGCGUAAAUUACCCAAUUCUGAUUCAGAGAGGUAGUGACAAGAAAUAACAGACCGAUACUUCUGUAACGGGGUUGCAAUGAGCCGAAUUUUUCUUCCCUUGGUGAGGAGCAAUUGGAGGGCAAGUCUGGUGCCAGCAGCCGCGGUAAUUCCAGCUCCAAUAGC